AUUGAACGCUGGCGGCAGGCCUAACACAUGCAAGUCGAGCGGCAGCACGGGUACUUGUACCUGGUGGCGACGGCGGACGGGUGAGUAAUGCCUAGGAAUCUGCCUGGUAGUGGGGGAUAACGCUCGGAAACGGACGCUAAUACCGCAUACGUCCUACGGGAGAAAGCAGGGGACCUUCGGGCCUUGCGCUAUCAGAUGAGCCUAGGUCGGAUUAGCUAGUUGGUGAGGUAAUGGCUCACCAAGGCGACGAUCCGUAACUGGUCUGAGAGGAUGAUCAGUCACACUGGAACUGAGACACGGUCCAGACUCCUACGGGAGGCAGCAGUGGGGAAUAUUGGACAAUGGGCGAAAGCCUGAUCCAGCCAUGCCGCGUGUGUGAAGAAGGUCUUCGGAUUGUAAAGCACUUUAAGUUGGGAGGAAGGGCAGUUACCUAAUACGUGAUUGUUUUGACGUUACCGACAGAAUAAGCACCGGCUAACUCUGUGCCAGCAGCCGCGGUAAUACAGAGGGUGCAAGCGUUAAUCGGAAUUACUGGGCGUAAAGAGCGCGUAGGUGGUUUGUUAAGUUGGAUGUGAAAUCCCCGGGCUCAACCUGGGAACUGCAUCCAAAACUGGCAAGCUAGAGUAUGGUAGAGGGUGGUGGAAUUUCCUGUGUAGCGGUGAAAUGCGUAGAUAUAGGAAGGAACACCAGUGGCGAAGGCGACCACCUGGACUSAUACUGACACUGAGGUGCGAAAGCGUGGGGASCAAACAGGAUUAGAUACCCUGGUAGUCCACGCCGUAAACGAUGUCAACUAGCCGUUGGGAGCCUUGAGCUCUUAGUGGCGCAGCUAACGCAUUAAGUUGACCGCCUGGGGAGUACGGCCGCAAGGUUAAAACUCAAAUGAAUUGACGGGGGCCCGCACAAGCGGUGGAGCAUGUGGUUUAAUUCGAAGCAACGCGAAGAACCUUACCAGGCCUUGACAUCCAAUGAACUUUCCAGAGAUGGAUUGGUGCCUUCGGGAACAUUGAGACAGGUGCUGCAUGGCUGUCGUCAGCUCGUGUCGUGAGAUGUUGGGUUAAGUCCCGUAACGAGCGCAACCCUUGUCCUUAGUUACCAGCACGUAAUGGUGGGCACUCUAAGGAGACUGCCGGUGACAAACCGGAGGAAGGUGGGGAUGACGUCAAGUCAUCAUGGCCCUUACGGCCUGGGCUACACACGUGCUACAAUGGUCGGUACAGAGGGUUGCCAAGCCGCGAGGUGGAGCUAAUCUCACAAAACCGAUCGUAGUCCGGAUCGCAGUCUGCAACUCGACUGCGUGAAGUCGGAAUCGCUAGUAAUCGCGAAUCAGAAUGUCGCGGUGAAUACGUUCCCGGGCCUUGUACACACCGCCCGUCACACCAUGGGAGUGGGUUGCACCAGAAGUAGCUAGUCUAACCUUCGGGGGGACGGUUACCACGGUGUGAUUCAUGACUGGGGUGAAGUCGUAACAAGGUAGCCGUAGGGGAACCUGC
rnacentral:rRNA from 2 species